GAGAUUUGACUAUAUUCAUGCCUUCAACGAGUCGAGUUGUUUGGGAUUGCAGCUCAAAUUGGGUGGUAAAUUCCAUCUAAAGCUAAAUAUUGGUGGGAGACCGAUAGCGAACAAGUACCGUGAGGGAAAGAUGAAAAGAACUUUGAAAAGAGAGUUAAAGAGUACCUGAAAUUGCUGAAAUGGAAGCGAAGGAAACCAGUGUUAUUUUGUAUCAUUUUUCCCCUGCUGCUUGCAACAGGGGCGCUGUGAUGCAAGGUAGGCCAGUAUGGGUUUGAAUCGGGGCAAAAGCUUUUGCUGCCCUGGUUUGGACUGAGGUUAGCUCGUGUGAUGCUGGCGAAAUGGUUUUCUUUACCCCGUCUUGAAACACGGACCAAGGAGUCUAACAUAUGUGCGAGUAUAGGAGUGGCAAACUCCCAUGCGCAAUGAAAGUAACAGUGGUGUUAUCAACAUCCGCCGGCCACAAUCCUUCGGGAGAAAGGUCUGAGUGUGAGCAUACAUGUUGGGACCCGAAAGAUGGUGAACUAUGCCUGAAUAGGGUGAAGCCAGGGGAAACUCUGGUGGAGGCUCGUAUGCGGUUCUGACGUGCAAAUCGAUCGUCAAAUUUGGGUAUCUGGAAAAAAAAACUAAUCGAACUAUCUAGUAUCUGU
rnacentral:rRNA from 1 species